rnacentral:rRNA from 1 species
UACGUAGGGGGCAAGCGUUGUCCGGAUUUAUUGGGCGUAAAGAGCGUGUAGGCGGUUUGGUAGGUCCGUUGUGAAAACUCGAGGCUCAACCUCGAGACGCCGGCGGAAACCAUCAGGCUAGAGUCCGGAAGAGGAGAGUGGAAUUCCUGGUGUAGCGGUGAAAUGCGCAGAUAUCAGGAGGAACACCGGUGGCGAAGGCGGGUCUCUGGGCCGAUACUGACGCUGAGGAGCGAAAGCAUGGGUAGCGAACAGG